rnacentral:rRNA from 1 species
UGGGGAAUUUUGGACAAUGGGCGAAAGCCUGAUCCAGCAAUGCCGCGUGUGUGAAGAAGGCCUUCGGGUUGUAAAGCACUUUUGUCCGGAAAGAAAUCCUUGGCUCUAAUACAGUCGGGGGAUGACGGUACCGGAAGAAUAAGCACCGGCUAACUACGUGCCAGCAGCCGCGGUAAUACGUAGGUGCAAGCGUUAAUCGGAAUUACUGGGCGUAAAGCGUGCGCAGGCGGUUUGCUAAGACCGAUGUGAAAUCCCCGGGCUCAACCUGGGAAUUGCAUUGGUGACUGGCAGGCUAGAGUAUGGCAGAGGGGGGUAGAAUUCCACGUGUAGCAGUGAAAUGCGUAGAGAUGUGGAGGAAUACCGAUGGCGAAGGCAGCCCCCUGGGCCAAUACUGACGCUCAUGCACGAAAGCGUGGGGAGCAAACAGGAUUAGAUACCCUGGUAGUCCACGCCCUAAAACGAUGUCAACUAGUUGUUGGGGAUUCAUUUCCUUAGUAACGUAGCUAACGCGUGAAGUUGACCGCCUGGGGAGUACGGUCGCAAGAUUAAAACUUAAAGGAAUUGACGGGGUCAUAGCUGUUUCCU